rnacentral:rRNA from 1 species
AUUGAACGCUGGCGGCAGGCCUAACACAUGCAAGUCGAGCGGAUGAAGGGAGCUUGCUCCUGGAUUCAGCGGCGGACGGGCGAGUAAUGCCUAGGAAUCUGCCUGGUAGCGGGGGAUAACGUCCGGAAACGGGCGCUAAUACCGCAUACGCCCUGAGGGAGAAAGUGGGGGAUCUUCGGACCUCACGCUAUCAGAUGAGCCUAGGUCGGAUUAGCUAGUUGGUGGGGUAAAGGCCUACCAAGGCGACGAUCCGUAACUGGUCUGAGAGGAUGAUCAGCCACACUGGAACUGAGACACGGUCCAGACUCCUACGGGAGGCAGCAGUGGGGAAUAUUGGACAAUGGGCGCAAGCCUGAUCCAGCCAUGCCGCGUGUGUGAAGAAGGUCUUCGGAUUGUAAAGCCCUUUAAGUUGGGAGGAAGGGCAGUAAGUUAAUACCUUGCUGUUUUGACGUUACCCACAGAAUAAGCACCGGCUAACUUCGUG